rnacentral:lncRNA from 1 species
GUCCUUUCUGGAAGUCACCUCUUGCAAGAAGUCUGCAACUCCUUUUCUUUUCGGGCAUUUGAAGCCCACGCUCUCAAAGAACCCAAGGAUGUUUUCACGGGGACCUUGGUACACAAUCUGACCCUCACAUAGUAAGAUAAUGGCAUCAAAAAGAUCAUAAGUUUCAGGUGCAGGUUGGAGAAGAGAGAUUAUCAUGGUUACUUCCAUGAUAUGAACCAUCUGCCUCAUAAACUUGACAAUCUGAAAAGUGGUGGAACUGUCCAGACCAGUUGAUAUUUCAUCCAUGAAAAGAGCCUUUGCUGGUCCAACCAACAUUUCUCCUGCAUUCAGUUUCAUCAGUCAUAUUAGGCUUUUGUGGAAUAUUAAAAAUCUUAAGAACAAGGAUUCCUCAGAAAUCAGACAAUUCAUAAUUGAUCAGUAGCUCAAUUCAAAUUGAAGGCAAAUGCUUUACCACUAAGUUGAAAGAAACAAUUGAUAUAGGACAUAAUCAAUGGAAAUGGGGCACAUACCGGUAGUAACACGCUUCUUUUCUCCACCAGAAAUGCCCCUUCUCAUAUCAUCUCCCAACACAAUGUCAGCGCAGAUGUCUAAUCCCAGCAUCUGUUACACACACAAUGUCAAAGAGCGUAAAGCUUGGGAAUGUAACUAAUAGGCCAGGCACCAAAUGGAAAUGGAGAUGCAAACCUUGAGCACAUAAUCUGUAACCAAACUAGUUUCUUGGCCUGCCAUUGCUGUUGCUUUCAUGAAUGCAUCUAUCUCAGGAUCUGGCUUAAUUCCAGCUUCUUUUUCUCGUCUUGACAAUUCUGCUAGUAGUUCAUAUCUGGUUCCAACUCCCAAACAUCGUCCUGAGAAGUCCAACGUUUCCCUAACUGUCAUCUCACCAUGGUGCAGAUCAUGCUGGCUAAUGUAAGCACAUGUUCUCUGAGGAACAAACUCUGAUAAUUCAUGACCACAGUAUGUGAUUUUUCCUUCCAUCUGUCCAUAAACACCGCACACAUCAGAGCAAUGAGUUCAGGAAUCAGGGACUAUCACCAUCACUAAAUAAUUCAUAUUGGGAAGGAAAUAACAAUGACACAGUGAAGGAUCGAAUUGGAUAAAAAUAUUUGUCAGAGUAACUUGGGGGGGCCAACAUACCCUUAGAUCUUUGUCCAUCUUCCCAGCAAGCGCCUGCAGCAGGGUAGUUUUCCCUGAGGCUGGAGGUCCCAGAAGCAGAGUCAUUCUGCAAAACACAAAAGCUAAUCAAGAAACCAGCAAAGAAAGGAAGUGUACUUAAUGGGAAAAUAUUUUGUUAUCCUAUUAAAUUUUCCCAGAAUUUGUAUCAAUCAAAUUAUAUAAAGACAUCAUUCAGGAGAUUUGUGUUGAGGGCAACAUGAUUGAUUGAAAGGUACUUCCAAAAAUGGAAUACAUUUACCUUGAUGGUUUCACGAUCCCACUCACAUCUUUUAGUAUCUUGACUACCCUUUUCUUAGAUGGUGAAAGCCUAAUCAGCCCAAGUAUUCCCUGUUCACGACAACAAAUAAACACAAUCAUAAUUCAUUCAUCUCUACAAAUUCCAACAGUCUACUGAAUUGAAGCAAACUUCUCCCAAAAACAUUAUCAGGAGAUUGAAGUCAUUCAUCACAAUUUGCUGAAAGGGAAAAUCAAGAAUCACCAUCGAAAACAGAAGAAGAAAAACAAAGGGACAAACAGAACAAACUACCUCUAUGAAGUUCAUGGUAAAAUUGAGCAGAGUAGGAAGUGCCCUGGUUCCAACAUAUGCGUCUCCUUCUAUUGAUAAAUGCUCAAACCGGACUUCGAUUUUUGGAAUCUCAACCCCAACCCUGUUGAGCAAACAGAUGUUACGUUCUAUAAAACUUUUCUGGUAACAAAUUCAACUGGGGCAAAGCAAGCAAAAAAACACAUGACCAACAGAGUGAACUUCAUGGGAAGAAAGAGAGAAGAGUGACCUAUCAGUCCUUUCCCUGAGCCUGAGAAGGAACUUCUCAUUAUCUUCUUCAACAACCUUAAGUAUACUCUCUAUGUGAUGCUUCCUCUCCUGCAUACCAAGAUUGGUGAAGUCAACUUCUUCAUGGACAACCUUCCCAUCAUCCAAAACUUGCUUAAGCAUCCCCUUCCUCAACCGCUCAAAGGUUGGAAGCCUUUCAAUGGCCGCCCACUUCAACUCUUCCUCAUCAUCCUCUUUCCUACUCUGAAAAGCAUCACCUUGUGCUGACAACGCCUCACGAAUACUCGCAGAAGCCCAACUUCGCCUAAUUCCAGUAUGCUAAACUUUUACGCCUGCUGCUCACGGACCUUGCUAGAUCAUCCCCAGCCAAUGCUGCAGCCAUUGUCACCCACCAAAACCCCUCAGAGUAAAGACUCCAAACCCCCCUUUAUAAUAACCCUAGAAAGCUCAGAUUCAACCGAUGAGCUCAAGAUGCUAGAGAAGGUGUGGAUGAAAUGGUGAGUAGAUGAGAUUGAUGGGCAUGGAGUGAUGUAGGAGGUGAUGGAGACUGGGAAGCGGUAGAGAAGUGGGCAUUACUGAGUGGGAGAGGAGAGUCUUUUAUGAAGUACAUGAAAAAUACUAUAUUUGAUCACUUGUGAGCUCAGGAGAGUUGAGAGUUGAGAGUUGCUAGUGAGAGUUUCAUGUAAAUGAUUGCAAAUCCUCUUGGUCUUAAUUAUGGCUGGCACUUGGCAGAUAAUUGAGAGAGGGUAACUGUGUUUCGGCGUUGCGGUGUUGGCUUAACAACCACAAUAAAAAUAAAUUAAAAUUAAUUAAAAUUUCAUCCACUAAGUAAAGGAUAGACAUAUGUUGUUAAAUACUACUUUAUCCUUCACUUAAAAAUGUAUAAAAAUAACAAAUAUUUUGAAAUCACAUCAUACCAUUUCAAAAAGAAAAAUUUGCCUUACAUGUAAAAUUUUUAGCAAAAAUAAAAACCAAAAUAGAAAAUUUGCCCCCUCUUAAACAAAAAUAUAAAUUUAAUUUAAAAAAAUUUAAAAAUAGAAAAUAAUGAUAACUAAAUAUUUUUACCAAAAAAACUAAUAUUUAUCAUUAAUUACUAAUAAUAUAUUCAGAUUGAACUAUAAUUUUUUUAAAAAAAUAUUCAUUAUAAAAUAUGUGAAUUUAUCGGAUUAAGAGAACUUGUAAAUAAUCAUAUAUGUUGAUGUAUAUUUAUUUAUAACUCCUUAUAAAAUAGAGAUACCUUUAAUGAAAAUUCACUUUGUUCUCUUCCAAUGUUCUAUUAUACUUUUCUUGAAGGAUUUAUGUUUAUUCUCUCUUCUAUUUUUUUUUUAGUCGUUUAUUUUAUAACACGUUAUCAACAUGAUGCUCUGAGUAUGUAGAAGAAAAAAAGAAGAAUGAUUGAGAUAGAAAAAAUAGAAGAUUUCAUCUACAAAAUUUCUUACAGGUAUAUAUUCUUAUUUUCUUCGAAUGAAAUAUGAAAAGUAGUAUACAUUGUAUUAUUAUUAUUAUUUACUUUAUCUCAUAGCCAGAAGCUAUGUGAAUCAUAUUUCAUAUAAUUAUAAAUAUUUUAAUUAUUUAAUAACUAGAAGAGAUAUAUAUAUAUAUAUAUAUAUAUAUAUAUAUAUAUAUAUAUAUAUAUAUAUAUAAUCAUAACUAGAAGUUAUGAAAAAAAAAAUAUAUGUGCAAUCCCUAUAAUAAGAAGUUAUGGGGUAAAUUAAAAAAACACAUUCAAAAGUCAUGUAUAUAAUCCCUAAUUAUCUAUUUUAAAUUAUACAAUAUAAUUAAAAGUUAUACCAAACAAUAUUAUAUAAUCAGAAGCUAUAAAAGUAAAUAGUUCAUAGCCUGAAGUUAUGUACAAAGCUACAUAAUGAAAUUCAUAGCCUGAAGUUAUUCACAAAUUUAUAUAAAACUAGUUCAUAUGGUUGUUUAAUUUGAUAUAUUUUUAUAAUUAAUAUUUAAAAUUAUUUAAUUUUUUUAAUAAUAAUAUAAAAUACUAUGAAUUACCUUACAAUUUAUAAAUGAUAACUGUAACAUUUUUCUUCCAUCCCUUCUAACAAAAGUCUCUGGCUCCGCCAUUGGUUCACGAGUCUCGCUAUUUCUAUCUAACUUGCAUCUCAUUAUUUUGUAUUUUAAUUUUAUUAUUUAUACUGGAGUUUCAUAUAUUUCUAUCAUUAUCCAACCACCUAAAUUUUAGUAUAUACUUGGAAUAAAUUAAAGGGAGAAUUAUGUUUUGGACCCAGUUGGGUACAAAAAUUAAUCUUUGGUCCACAUAAGUUGCAUAAUUGAUGGGAAUGAUAUAAAAUUAUUAAGAGACUAAUAUACCCUUUAAAUUUCCAACUCAAAUGCUUUGAAAUUAAUGGGUUUCAUACAUGGUAAACUAAAAAUGGCAUGUCACCUUUCUUAAAAAUCUAACUUUAAAAUCCUGCUUGUUGGGUCUAUUGUCCAGAGAAAAGAAAUGGGUAUGGUUCAUGGAGAGAGAUAGUAAGCUUCGGGGAAAAAGAUUCUCUGAUGAUAAUGCAAUUUCUCCAUAAUAGCUAUCAUACGGAUCAAACAUAUCUUGAAAGUAAAUAAAAUGGUUGUCAUGAUUGUGAGGUUGGUCCACCACACGAAACGGAGAAAAUGAAGAACUCCGAUGAAGAUCUAAAGCAUCUUCAGCUAUGGUCGUCAUGAUGGCAGUGGCCUAGCAACCUCCUGUGAAGAUGAAAAUAUGCUAAAUAGGGUAUAUGCCCUUUUGAAGUAGAAUUGUGGGGUAAGUAUAUUUUCUAUAAUUCAAACCUAAGUUUGUAGAGGAUUGAGUGUGUUUUGAUUAGGUUUAGGGAUGAAUUGUGACAUUCAUAUUUGUGACAUUUAUUCUGCUAUGAUCCAGAGCACAACCCCAUUAAUUGUAUGAUUGAAACUCCUUUAUGUUUGAGUAGAAGAUUAAUAAUAUGAUUACUAGUAGUUGGGGAACAAAUUGAUACUUCAUUUUUUUCCUUAUGUUAUAAACCAAAACAUUACAAAUAUGGUUAACCUAAGUAUGAGCAGACAUUCAGUAGUAGUUGUUUGGAAUUUCUUCCUUUGUACAAGACGUUUACACGAAGUGUAUAAGGUAAAUAUGUUAACUAUACAAGGGUGUACAAAGGUACUAUGGACCCGCAUUUUUCACAUGUACUCCCACUCGAUCGGCAAGACUCGCUUUUAUUUUUUUGUGAAAAAUUUAACUUUGGAAAAGUCGAAGUCGUUACUUAUUUUAUUUUAUUAAAAGGGAAAAUAAAAUAAGAAAGAAAACCCUAAAGAAGUGACUCCAUAGUUUUUGGAAAAAUAUGUCUUUGAAAAACCUGAAUCUAGGUCCGGGGAUUAGGUUACCUAUUGGGAAGGUACCUCUAAAAGGUUUUAAUUACUGACUAAGUUGAGGGGAAUAAGACAAUUAAUUGAUUGAUUGAGGGUACCUAGGUAGACUGAGGUGAUUUAAAAAAAUAGCAUGCUAAACAAGAAAAGUCAAAUCAUGAUCAUAAAAGAGAUUUAGGGUGCAUACCUGGAUUGCUUCUCAAACGCUAUCACAAGACAUCAAAGUUAGUUCGAAUAGUAUAUCAUCCAACAUGCGCUUUAUCAGAAAUAAUAGAACAAUGAAACAUAUAUAUCAAGACAUCCAAGCAAUAUCAAAUAUAGGUGGAGUUCAUAGUGACAAGCAUAUUCACAGAAUUUAGAAGGUGGGUGUUAGGGGGCGUACCUAGAUAGCAUAAGUAACUUAUAAUGCGCUUCCACAAAACAUGAAGGGUUGGAUAAUAAAUAAUAAAAUAAAGAAAUCUUAGCAUGCUUAUCUAAUUAGUAUAGCAAAAAUGAUCAAAGUAUAUGAAAUAAUCAAUUAUUAUAUAAUUCCUAAAAAAUGUAUAAAUAGGAUUACAACAAGUGGAAAAUGUGGCAACAAAGAUGAGUUUUGAAAAACGAAAAGAUUUUAUGUAGGGGUUUCACCAAUUCCCCAAUUAAUAUACACAAAUCUAGCUUAGAAUCAUCCCAUUUAUUUGGGACCACAAGCUUUGAUUUGUAUUUUGUUCAAAACCAAAAUUUUCAUUGAAAAUCGAGAAAGAUGCGAACCGAUCAAAAGAUGGUUGCAUAUUAUUUAAGAAAAUGAGAUUUUGAUUCUAAGGACUCUAAAUGAGUUUUUGAAAUAGAUUUUUAAAGGGAUCUUUUGAGAAAAGUGUUAUAUUUUAAAAUAAGAUAAAUUAAUUUGAAAACAAUAAAACGUAUGAGAAACAGAAUACCAAGCAAAACAAACGGAAACAAAAUUACGAAGUAAAAUUUUUGGCAACCAAGAAAACUGAAAUGGUGUGAAUGGAGGCCAAUCAUCACUAUUUUCUGAUGGCCUCUGAAAAAUAAAAUUGACAAGAGACUACCAAAGUAAUAAACUAUUAAAACUUAGAUCAAAUAAGCUAACAUGAUACUCAUCGAGGAUUAAUGACUAAUUUUCAAGAAACAUGUCAAUUAAGAGUAACAAUCAAGAAUUAGCACGUGAUCAAUUAAACACACAAACGUAUCUAGACUGAUUAAAAAUGGACCAAAUUAAAUUAGGGCAAACAUGAAUUUUCAAUUAUAGAAUUAAUUUUAUUAGUGAGCUAAUAGUAUGGAAAAUACCUAAACUAAAUAGAUGAGUGAAGCUAAAUCAGAGUAAACUAAACACAGACACCUUCUAAUAUGGAAUUGAUUUUAUUAAUAACUUAAAAUUAUAAAAAAAAAACACCUAAAAUAAUUAAAAUGAAUCAAAUGAAAUGAAAGCAAGCUAAAACAAAAUAUGAAUUCAUGGAAUCGGGUUCCUAAAUAAAUUUACAUUAUUAAAAUGAAAUCUAAGCUCAAAAUGAAUUAAACACUAAUUAAAGAAAAUUUAAAAAUCAAAUAUUUAACACAUAAGAUCAAUUAUUUUAACCAAAUAAAACUUUACUUAAACCAAAAAUUAAAUUAUAAAAAUAUCCAAAAGAAAUUUUAAAACUAAAUUUCUAACCUAUAAAAUCAAUCUCAUUAACAAAUGGAUAAGUAGACAACACAUAAAUAAAUAAAUAUGACUAAAACGAAAUAUGAACUCAUGGAAUUAAUUUUUUUAAAUAAACUUACAUUACUAAAAUGAAAUCUAAACUUAAAAAUGUUUUUAACACCAAUUAUGGUAAUCCUAAAAUCUAAUAUUUAACACAUAAUAUUAACUAUUUUAAAGAACAAAAAUUUCACUUAAACCCAAAAUUAAAUUGAAAACUAUCCAAAACAAAUUUUAAAACUAAAUUUCUAACCUAUAAAAUUAAUCUUAUUAAUAAAUAAAUAAAUAGGUAAUGCGUGAAUAAAUAAAUAUAGCUAAAACAAAAUAUGAACUCAUGGAAUUAAUUUUUUUAAAUAAAUUUACAUUACUAAAAUAAAAUCUAAGCUUAACAAACGUUUUUAACACUAAUUAAGACAAGUCUAAAAUCUAAUAUUUAACACACAAAAAUCAAUCAUUUCGAAAAACUAAAAUUUACUUAAACCUAAAGUUGAAUCAAACUACCCAAAGCAAAUUUUUUUGACACUGAAUCUUUAACCCAUAGGAUCAAUCUUAUUAAUAAAUAAAUAAAUAACGAAUCAUUAAAUUAGUAGCAAAUAAAUAAAUAAAUAAUGAAUAAUUAAAUGAAUCAAAACCAAAUUAAACAAAGAUCAAAUUAUAUGUAUUUUUUUUCAAGGUUAAAAUUAUAUAAAAUUGUAUUUUCUAAAUUUAAUAUGAUAAAUCAAAACUAACUUUAAACACAAUUCUAAUCCUUAUGUAAUCAAUCAAAAUUAAAUAAGAGUGAGAUUCAUGCUGCCAUAAUAAGACACGUAUAUACUAAAGCUAAUAAAAUAAGUCAAGCCACUCAACCCAAUAUAGUAAUCCAACUUGAAAUAAACUAAACUUUGAAAACCCAUAUGUAAAAAAAUAUCUUACCUAACCGGCUGUGAUGAUGCCAAAGCAACUUGGUGGUGUGCGGCUGGUGUAGUGAAAAACGAGUAGAUGAUCAACCUAGCUAGUUGUGAUGCUCCCAAGGCAAACUGAUGGUGUGCGGCCGACGCGGUGAAGGACAAGUAGAGGAUCAACCUAGCCGGCUGUGGUGCUUCCAAGCAACCCGAAUGUGAGCGGCAUGAUUAGAGGUGGUGUGCUAGUGCAGGUCUCCAAUGGCGAUGGUACGUCAUUCUUUCAGAGAUAGAGAUGAUGUCGCAUGUGGACUGUGCUAGGCUGCAAGCAUCAAAGAUCACUCGUGACCUAUGUUUCGUCGCCCAAAACUCCUUUGAGACACUCCGACAUCGGUUUUCAUUAUGUCUUUGGCAGUCAUUCGCUAUAAUUUUCGAAUCAGAUUACACGAUGAAUGUAUGGGACCAUCCGCGUUGAGAAGAGAUGAGAAUGGAAUUUCAGUCUACUAUCUAUGGACUGAUCUCAAUGAGAAGUGGGUGGUUGGCGGGACUUCAAUGGUGCGGUUGAGUUGGAACCUUCCUCUCAUCCAAUGGUGCAGCUGCCCAUUUGCUCAUCCCAAUUCAAUAAGGAAGGUAUAUACUCUUCUUUUCCAUCACGGGGUGAAUAGCCGGUGAAUAUCAACAAGCAGUUGAGUAUGUGGGUUCCAAAACAACAGUCUGAAUCUCUUUUGAAACCUGGACCGAUUCUCUCUCAAAUAGCAGCCCCAAAUGCCCUUUUUCAAACAUGGACUGAUUUCUCAACUUGAAAAUGACAGCCUAACUUCCCAAAAUAAUCCUUCUGAAUCACCCUUUAACUCUCUUUCUCCAGAAUGAUGCCACUACCGCCCUUCAAUCGUGCGUCCUUUUUUUUUUUUUUUCCUUUAAUAUUUUCUCAAUCACUUUUUUAGACCCCCCUCCAUCCACGGUGAUGGAAGACACAACAGGAAAGGUCUUUUUUCCCACUUUCGGAUCACCCCCAAUUCCUUCCAAUCAUUCAUUUUUUUUUUCUUUUGUCUUUCAUUUUCUCUCUUCCUCUCACUCCAAUCUCCCAGCUGUCUCCAUCUUUCCUCUUAAUGGUGUCUUUCCUUUUCUUUUUAUAGAGAACGUGGGAUCCAUGCAAACAUAAUAAUAAAAAAUAAAAUAAAAAUAAAAAUAAAAGAAAACUAAGGGUUAGAAUAAUAUAAAAAAAAAACAUGCAACUAAGAAUUAAAAAUCCAAAAUAUGUAAUUUUAAACGAAAUUAAAAAAAUAUAAAUCACAUGCAUAACUUAAAAUGAAUUAUCAACUCAAACAACUCUCUAUCAAAAUAAAUUAAUAAAUAGAUAAAUAAACACGAAAUGAAUAUGAUUAUUAAGCUCAUGCAAUUUUCUAAAAAUAAGUAAAUAAAUGAAUAAAACUAAUAAAUAGAGAGAAAUAAUAAAAAAAAAAAAUCAAGCACAUGCAAGCCAUAUGAGCUAUGCAACCAUGCAAACCAUGCAUUCAUGCAAAAAAAAUGAUCUAGGGUGCCUAAGUGGGUCUAGGGUGCCUAAAUGGGACUAGGGUGCCUAAGUAGGUGUAAGGUGGUGCCUAAUGGGCCAAGUGUGUCUAAAUGAGCCUAGGGUGCCUAAGGGAGCCUAAUGUCAUGAACUUAGUCGUUUCCUAAGCUCGUGCGACACUUAGAUAAGUCAAGACGCUUGAUCUUGCUAAGUCAACCUUACUUCCAACGCUUAGCUUGCUAGGCAAAGAUGCUCACGACUCGGAAGCUUGAGAAGGCGUAAUAGGGGACUCUUAAAGAAUAGAAGCUUUAUUGCUUUCAAAUGAAGCUAUACAAUGCUUAGAAGCUCAUUUGCUUGGUUAAGAAGUGAUUUGGGUAGUUUUUGGGUGGUUUUUGGAUGGUCUUGGGGUGGUACCUUGGCCAAAUGAGGUCCCCUCCUAUUUAUAGGCACCAAUGAAACUCUCUGGAACCUUGGAGGGUUCCUUACAAAUCAAGAAGAUUCUAGAAUACCCUACAUAAUUCUAUGUACAAGAAUAUAUAGGAGAUUCCUAGAAUUCUCUAGAAAGCCUUAAACUCCUCUCAUGCCUUCCACCAUAGUGUAGAGAUGUGUGGACAUCUCUAGGCAUCUCUAGAACCUUCCACACUCUUCCCACUAAUGGCUAAGUGUAUAUGGCUCUAGGAGUCUCUAGAAGCAUCCUGGACUCCAUAUAAGCCCAUGGAGAGGCUCAUUUGAAGCAUCCUAUGACACUAAGGUGCCUAAGUGAGACUAAGGUGAUGCCUAAUGGGCCAAGUGUGCCUAAAUGGGCCUAAGGUGCCUAAAUGAGUCUAAGAUGCCUAAAUGAGCCCAAGGUGAUGCCUAAUGGGCCAUGUGCUUAAAUGGACCUUAGGUGCCUAAAUGAGGAUAAGGUGCCUAAAUGAUCCUAAGUUUAAAUAGGGCUGCCAAGAGUCAUAAUGGGGUUAGAUAAAUCCCUCAACCAAAGUCCCCAAGAUGGCUUAGAAAAGAUAGGCUACACGAAUAGUAAUGGGCCACUAGAGAAUUGCUGUAAAGUAUCAGACAAUUACUUAAUAGGACAUGUGCUAGGAGGACAAAAUUGAGGGUCAACAUGUACUUAUGUUGAAUGAUUUCAAAUCUUUUUAAAAUCAUUUCCAUUUUGUAAGGAUGAAGGACAUUCCUCACACACAUUCCUUGAUCAUGCACUCAUCGUAUUCAAUUUUAUUACUUUAUACAUGUUCAUUGGAUGACCUAUCGCACUAAUGAUGAAUAGGGACCUAUAUUAGGUUUCAUUUCCCCAAUUUCCCUUAGGCAUCACAUUGGAACAUGUUUAGCCCACCCAUAUGCACGCGUUCAGUUGUAGCUAUGUCAAAUUUUUACCACUAUACAAGGCAUUUACACUAAGUGUACAAGACAAAUGUGUUUACUGUACAAGGGUGUACAAGGGUACCUAUAUUGAAGGAUUUCAAUUCCUUUUGAAAAACUAGAUUUCUCAUCUUCCUUUUCUAAGGAUGGGGAAUAUUCCUCAUAAACAUUCCUCAUUUCCCUUCAUACACAUUCAUUGGAUGAGCUACUGUACUAAUGAUGAAUAGGAACCUAAAUUGGGUUUCAUUUUCCCUUUUUUUCGCUCAGCCAUGGCAUUGGAAUAAGGUUAACCCACCCAUAUGCACUCGUUCAGUUGUAGCUAUGUCGAAUUUAUGCCACUAUACAAGGCAUUUACACAAAGUGUCUAAGGCAAAUGUACUAACUGUACAAGAGUGUCUAUCUUAAGGGAUUUCAAAUGAUUUUGAAGAACUUACUCAUUUACUUUUUCCAAUCUUGGGGGACAUUCUUCUCACACAUUGCUUGACCACAUGCUCAUCACAUGCAUUUUAUUUGAUGUCCACCAUGUUCAUUCAUUCUAUUAGCUCAUCUACUAAUCAUGAAUAUGAACUGAAAUUAAGGUCAACUUUUUCCUCAUUUUCCCUAAUCCAUGAGAAUGGAAACAUUGUUUACCCACCCAUAUGCACUCGUUCAAUUGUACCUAUGUGAAAUUUCUACCAUUGUACAAGGCAUUUACACUAAGUGUAUAAAGCAAAUGUGCUAAUUGUACAAGGGUGUACAAGGUUGCCUAUCUUGAAGGAUUUCAAAUGAUUUUGAAGAACUCACACACUGAUUUGCAAUGAAUAAAAUAACCUUUGGGCCAUAUAAGUUGCAUAAUAAAGAGAGAUGAUAUAAAAUAUCAAGAGACAAAUAUACCCUUCAAAUUUUCAUAUCAGAUGUUUGUAAAAUUUGGGUUUCAUGCAUAGUCAACUGAAGUUUCCAUGUCAAAUCCCUUUAAAAUGUGUACAUGGCUAUGACCUAGGUCUAUUGUCCAAUAAAAUAAAUCCAGAGAGAGGAUUUGGGUAUGGUUCAUGGAGAAAGAUGAUGAACUUUGGCGAAAAAGACUGUGUGAAGAUCAGGCAAUUCCUUCACAAUUCCUUUGGGUCAAAUGGAUCUCAAAAGCAAGAAUUCUCUUAAGAUCUAAAGUAGUUGUAGCACUGGUAGUAGGGUAUAUGCCCAGUGAACUCCUUUGAACAUGAAAAUAUGCUCCACCUAUUGAAGUGGUUUUCGAGUUAGUACAAUUUCUGGAAUUGGAACCCAGGUUUGUGGAGGAUUGAGGGUGUUUUUAUUAGGUUUAGGGAUGAAUAGUCACAUCCAUAUUUGUCAAACUUCUUUAUGUUUGAGACCCCAUUAAUUGUAUUAUUGAAACUCCUUCAUGUUUGAGUAGAAGAAUAAUAAUAGGGAAAAUUAUUUUUGAAUACCAAAUGUUGUGCAUGUAGAAAGUCGGUAGAAGGGUUUUUCUUUUGCAUCAUUCACUGAUCUAUUUGUAUGAUUAUUAUGUAAGAAUCAUAGACUAGUAGUUGUUUUUGAAUAAUAUGAUGACUAGUAGUUGUUUUUGAAUAAUAUGAUGACUAGUAGUUGUUUUUGAAUAAUAUGAUGACUAGUAGUUGGGAAACAAAUUUAGACUUUAGUUUUUCCCCAUUCUAAGGUUGAGAGUCCAUGUAGUAUAGUAGCUUUGUGAAUCAUGACAAUUGAUAGCCUUGCAUCAUCAUUCACUGUAGGUCUUGUCCAAUGUGCAUCACAUGUGCUAAUACACUCACCAUGAGAAACUCAUCCCGACGGUCAAGACAAGUCAUCCCUCCAAUUAGGAGGUGUUACACUACAGUCUCUACUGGAUUACCCAAAUCCAUGAACCAAUAAUGGACAACUUAUCUACUUACAAGGAACCCAUGAAUUGUAUCUUCUAUGCAACCCCUAAUGAACUCAAAUCAUGUACAAUGUAAGAGAUAGAUUGAAUGCUCAAAUCAAUGUCAAUACAACAUGAAUUGUUACAUCAUGUCUUGCUUUUAGGAGGUCAAUCCCAACAAGUACUAUCUUCAUGCACUAUUUCUCCUUAAGUAUCUUAGGACACUUAUCUUAAGAGAACAGAACUUUAUGUCUAAAGGGUAGAAAACCCUUUUUGGAAUCCUACAUAGCAUACUUGACUCAAGUGGGUUGAGAUAGUGCAAGCUUCCUAUUCUUACAAUCUCCUAAGACCUUAAUCCUAGGAAUAGACUAUGCUUCUCUAGAUCUUUCAUCUGAAACUGAGUAGACAACUAGAUCUUGAUUGAUGAUAAUAACCUUAUAUCAUUCCUAAUGAGUAAAAUAUUAUCAGCAUAUAGGAUCAUGAAGACCAUCAUGCUUCCCUACACGUUCUUGUACACACAACGUUCAUUUUCAUUUUGAUCAAAAUCAAAGGUUUUGACCAACUAAUCAAAAUGCUUGUACUAUGAGAGAGAUACUUGCUUUAAUCCACAAAUGGAUUUAUGCAACUUGCACACCAAACACUCUUGGCUUUUACUAUGAAACCAUAUAGUUGCAUCAUUUAAAUGGUCUCACUAAGAUAGUCAUUUAAGAAUGCUUUCUUGAGAUCUAUUUAUCUAUCUCACAAUUGAGAUGUGUUGUAUUAGAUAAGAGUAUUCUCAUGGAUUUGAGAAUGGCUGCCAGUAAAAAAGUCUCUUUAUAGUCGAAACCAAAUUUCUGGCUAUAAUUCUAACCUUCUAUGUUUCAACCUUUCCAUCUACUCCUCUCUUCCUCUAGUAAACCCGCUUGCACCAUAUAGCUUUUAUCCAUUUAAGUGCUUCUACAAGCUUCUAGACUAUGUUAGAAUGCAUGGAUUCUAACUGCAUCCAUAGCUCCUAGCCAAAAAGAUGCAUCAACAUUGCUUAUUACUUCAUCAUAAUCUAUGGGAUAGAUCUCAUGUUCUUAAGGAAUUAUCUCAAAAGACUCUUCCUAAUACAUUAAUAGAUCAAGUUAUACAAAACCCCUACUAUGACGAAACAUUAGUAUACUAAAAAUGUUAGAAGUGGUAGGUACUAGAUCCAUAGUAUUUUGUGCUAUUGUGGGAGUGUAAUCUAAUACUCUUCAAUCAAUAUUACUGCUAAACUUAUUACUUAUCAUAUAGUCUUCUUUCAGAAAUCUAGCAUUUGUACUUACAAAUACUUUUUGAUCAAUUUGAGUGGAAAAGUAAUAGUCUGUCUACCCAAUUCUUCCUUGGAGGAGAUUAGCAAUAACACCAUGGAAUUGACCAAGGAUUUGGUCCAUUCAAAUCUCUCUCUUCAACUCACUCAACCAUGAAAGGCUCUAGGUUAUCUUGGGAAACUUCUACCAGAAGAUUUUUUUAAUCAAUUAAGAAAUUUAUAGUGGUGUUUGGGAUUUGAAAACAGAUGCAUUAUAGAGAGUGAAAAUAGUGAGAACUGAUUUUAGUUAACUUGGAUCAACACACUUUAAUGUCCUGUUGUUUGCCUUCUUUGAGGAUCCUAUCUAUGAGAUUGUUGAACAGGGACAUGCUUCAGUCCCCCAUGGUUAGGAAGAUCUAAAUAUUUAUCAUGUUGGAAGAAUUCGGCGCUAAACCUUUUCAAAAGGAUGGCUCUAUCUUUUUUGGGGUUCUAGAAUCAAGGAGAAACAAAAUAUUAUUGAUUUAUUUCACUUUUUGGUAUAUAGAGAGUGGACAUACUUAUCAUUUUUAUCAAAAACAAUCUUUGAAUAGGCUGCCUAGAGAUUGUUGUGUUAAUCUGUCAAUUUAUGUAUUGUCGUCUUGCCUCUUAAGGUGUUGAUGUCAUUCAGCUACAAAGCUUUGACACCCCGCUUGGCCACAGAAUUUCCCCUAAUACCUGGGUCCUGUCGUGGAGUGUAUAUUUUAUUCAAGUUUUUUCUCUUUCAAAGAUGUUCAAUAAAUUAUUCUUAUUACCUAUUAAAAUAAUCUAAAUAAUAUUUCUCUUGUGAAAGCUCAAACAUUCUUAUUGUUCCUCCUCUUUCUCCUCUGUUCUAUGUCAGUAGAUUUGAUGUUAUGCAUUCGUGCCUCAGUUUAUCAUGCAUUUUAUUAGCAACUGAUUAUGUAUCUGAAUUUUUUCAGCAACUCCAAGGAUUUCAUUGAAUCAGAAAGAAGACCUCAUUAUCUGGCCACCACUUGUCAUCAUCCAUAACAUUUCUAUUUUGAACAGUGAAGGCUGAUGCCCUUAUACUUUCAUGGGGGUGAACCUCUUAGUAUCAAAUGCCCUGGUUGCUUCCUUCAAGUCUUCUCACCAUUACAAAUCUAUAGUGCCCUUGCUAUGAUUUGAUGACUAUUUCAUUCUUAUUCCCUAGUCUCAAUAUUUUCCUUUCCUUCUUUUAUAUAAACCCAGGGCUAUCCAUCUCAAUUCUUUCUCUGAAAAUUGAGAUCAUAUAGGCUAAGUUUUAGCAUAUUAGGUUGGGUUGGAUUAUUGGCAAAGUGAUAACCUCUUUAGAUUAAAAGGUUUGGGUUUGUUUAGAAACUAUUCAUGAAAAUUGUCUUUUGUUCUAUAAUAGAAAAUAGAUUUUUAACUGAAAACAGUUUUUUAAAAAUAUGUUUUGAAAACAGAUUGGUCUUUUUAAAUGUUUUGAGGUGUUUUUUGUGGAGUAUUUUGAGAAAUAAUUGAAUAUAUGAAGAAUGUUUUCGGAAGUUUUGUAUUGUAAAUAAGUGCAUUAUAUCUGAUAAAAAAAAUAUGAGUGCAUUAUAACUUCAUAGAAAAUAAGUCGAUAAAAUUAUUUUUCAUAUUUGAGUUCUUAAGUAGAAUUUUAUUUUUAAAAAUAAUUGAGAAAUGUUUUUAAGAAUUUUUAUUAAAAAUUGAUUUUUGAGAAUUGGUUUUGAAAACACUGCCAAAUGGGCUUUUUGUGUUUACAUCUAGCCUAGCUCAGCUUAACUGAGCUGGUGCCCUAAUGCUCACUCUGGAUUUGGCUUAAAUAAAUCGGUGACGUGCACGGUUAAUUGGUUUUGGAAGCUGGUGUUAUGUUAUUCUGAUGUACUGCCUUCUCUUUUUGGGGUCUUAAUGGCAGUUGAAGGUUUUGGCGGGGGAAAAUUCAAGAUGUGCCUCGAUAGGCCUGCAGACCAUAGUGUUAUGGUGGUGAAGUUCUAGGGUACGUUUUCUGGACUGGAAGAUGCAGGAAGGCUUCAUGGGUAUUAUGCUGAGAAAAAUCAUGGAAGAGCAGAUCUUGAGAAAAUAAAUUACGACAAUGGCAAAAGCAGCAACAGUAGGGAAGCAGGAAUGCAACAAGACAAACCAGAGGAGGUUGUUCUAUAUGGGUACAUGGGAAUUGCAGAGGACUUGGACAAACUUGAUUUUGACACCAAGAGAAGUGUUUGAUUCAAAGCAAGCAGGAGAUCCAGGAGCUUGCAGAUGCCCCUGCUAAACCUGAUUAGAAGUAACUGUUCAGAUCCGUAAAUUAAAGAUAGAAUAAUCUUCUCUCCAAACCUAUGUCAGUUAUGUAAACAGAGCGGUUAUGUAACACUUCCUCGUCAGCUCUUUAUGAAUUCCCAUAAAACUAAAUUCAAAGUUUGCUAGUGGUGGACAGCUGCUGUUUGGGGGCACUUGGGUUUCCCUCUUUCUAAUGCAAUUUUCAGAUUGUUUUAACAUCUUUCUCGGAAUCAAUCUUACUUCUCGGAAAUUGGAUUAUGAUUGAAUGCCUUUUUAAGUCAGAAUUUCAAUUACCGACCCUCAAUAGAUCAAUUUCAAACUCAAGUCCCUGGGGCAGAGCAGGGUGCUGGGCUUGCCCGAUCGGAGUGCACCGAGAGCCCUCUGAUCCUUGUCCGCACAAUUCAUCGAGAUUUACCCUAUCUUGCUUCGAUUCCUCACUCCCUCCCAAAUCAACUACUCCCUUUCUUGGCACAACUCCGUUGGUCAAAACCAUUAAUAUUCAACCUACCAUUCAUUGACCAACUCCUCCUUUCAUUGGCACAACUCCAGUGAUCAAACUAUUAGUAUUCAACCUACCAUUCAUUAAGGGUCUCGAGUAGAAUAUGGCCCAUCCGAAGGUCUCCUUUCACAAAAUCUUAUUUUAUGUUUUUUUCUAAAGGAAGGAAUGGGAUUUUAACUAGAAGAUGGGUCCCCUAUAUCAGUACUGACAUUACCCAUUUGACAAAAAGAAAAGGGAUAUCAUCUCUAGGUACCCAAGAAUUUUACAAAUUACAAAGAAACAAUCAUUUUCUGAGACUUUCCUUUACCUCCUUUGGAAGUUAAUGAACUUAAUGCCAUAGGCAAAGACAAACAAGAAGAGGAGGACCCAACCAAUAUGAGCCAAGGCAACCGCUCUCAGGAAAUCAUAUUCAAAGCCUAAAGCCUCCUUAAGAUACUGCUUCACUGACAUGUCAUCUGCUCCAGGUACUUGAACCGGAUCCUCCUUGUCACCCACCUGAGAUGUCACCAGUCCAUAGAUGGUCCAAGCAACAGGGGAAGCCCAGUAGUACCACCUCCACCAUAUUGGUAUUUGCUGUAGAUGUACAGUUUGUUAGAAUUCAGUAUUUCUUCUACAAAUACAAACUCAAAUUCUUCGUAGGUAUACGCACCGUCCUAGGGAUGAGAAAACCAGAGAAGAGAUUCCAAAAGCUUAGGAAGAAGGACAUAAGAAUGGCAGCAAUUUGAUGGUUGGGAGUGAGCGCUACAAUCAUCAUUCCAUACAAUGUGAAGUAAAUAAAGCACAUGAGUAGGUAGUAGUAGAACCAUAAGAACUUGUCCACUCGCCAGUAGAAUCCUAUCAUAGAGUAGAGGAGAAGAGUGUAAACAAAAGUUUGGAUUGUGAUGUAAAUUGCCUCUAUGGCCACCUGCAGGGCAUCCAAAUACAAGAUUAGUUUAAAAUUAAGCUCUACUAGAAAUGUGUGUCUGUUUCUCAUCUGUUUUCUCAAAAGGCAACCUGGGCAAAUGCAUAAGGCAAAGCUGAAUACAUCCCAGCUGCCCUUUCGCGGUAGAAGACUGUUCUCUCAAUUGCCACAAUAGGCUGCACUGAAGCAGCGUUGGUGGCUCCAAGGAAGAAGACAGCUGCAAACAUAGCUCCCAGCAGAUUUAUUAGGUCUUGUUCUUUGUCUCUGCAUACAGUAGUUGGGGUGUUGGUUCACAUUUUUCCUUAAUUAUUAAUGGAGGAACACCAAAAUAAUAAAUUUGCAAUACUUACGUCUGCUCUCCUUCGUUCCAGAAAAUUAAUCCAAAUAGAACACCAAUAAUUAUGGUCAAGAAGAACCGGAGAGCAUUAUAGGGAGGAUUCCUCCAAUAAGACCAGUGCUGUUUCCAGAAGCAAGCCUUGCAUUGAGUAAUAAAGCUUUGAGAGUAUUUGGUGGGGAAAUAAAGGUCUUUGGAUCCUGGUGAUGGUGUGCUCAGCUCUUUGAUGAAUUCCUGAUUCCUCCUGCAACAAAAGGGGGAGUGUAAUAAGUCAUUGGAAAAAGAAUUGAGACAGAAAGAUGAUGUUCCAGGGAAUCAUAAUCCACUUACUGAUAGAGUUCAGAUUUAGCAUAAAUUUCUGCAAAAUCCACACCAAGUUGAGCCUCAACUGCAGCAGAGCUGAUCUCCAGCAUCCAUGUAGCAGGAUUUUGACCAUCUCUGACUUUAGGAACGCCCGGGACAGCCUGCAGCAAGUUAUGGAUUUGAUCAUGACACACUCCUAUAAGUAUAACAAUGGAGAUGGAGCAAGUUCACAGAAGAUGAAUAAUGCUCACUUCAAAGUACUCUACAAGCUUGUGAGAAUUGCGACCAAGAGGUCCAGCAUAAAUGAUUUGUCCUCCUCUCUUCAUCAGCAGUAGCUGCAGGCAAAAAUGAUGUUGGGUUGAAGAAAGGAAUGGUGACUCCAUGAUAAUCAUACCACUAACAAGUAUUAGAUACAAAACCAUGAAACUAAGAAAUACCUCAUCAAAAGCUUCAAAGAUGUCUAUGCUUGGCUGGUGAAUGGUGCAGACAACAGUCCGCCCUGUAUCCACCGUGUUUCUAACUGUACGCAUAACAACUGCAGCUGCUCUAGCAUCAAGGCCUGUCGUUGGUUCAUCCAUGAAGAUGAUGGAGGGGUUAGCAACCAAUUCUACAGCUACUGUCAGCCUCUUCCUCUGUUCUGUUGAAAGCCCAUCUAUUCCCGGAAGGCCAACCAAAGCAUUCCUCAGGGGGUGAAGCUCAACCAAAUCCAUUACUUCCUCAACAAACACCUAUAACACAGAAGGAACAAAAAAAAACACAACUGAUGUAUAUAGCUUGUAAGAGGGUGAACUAAAAGAAAAAUCAUUCAUUUGACAAAAGGACAUGCCUGCCUUGUUUCCUUUUUGACAUCCGGAGCAAGGCGCAGCCAGGCAGAGUAAACAAGAGAUUCAUAAACAGUUACAUUUGGAGAAUGUAUAUCAGUCUGCUCACAGUAACCACUAAUACGAGCAAAAGUUGCUUGGUUUUUGGGGUAACCAGAAAUGCUGAUACUUCCUUCAAUGUACCCACUAGUUUUCCUUCCUGCUAACACAUCCAUCAAAGUGGUCUUUCCAGCACCACUAACACCAACUAAUGCCAUUAGAAUACCUGGCCUGAAAGCACCGCUAGCAUCCCGCAGCAGUUGGAGAUGAUCCGCUUCAUUUCCUUGGCUCUUCAUUCCCUGUGAUUGAAUCCAUAAAAAAGUUUCAAAGCUCUAGACCAAGAUCAUAUCCUAACCUAUAUAUUAGUCUCACUUGUGUGUCUAAGUACUCAAAACAAGUUACUUACAGCAGGCAUAUCAACAUAGUAAUUCACAUGCUCAAAUGCAAGCGAUAAGGGCUGGAAGGGCAACACCAUUCCCCUUUUAGUAAGUGCAUGAUUUGCAUCUUUGACAACUGCUUUGGUGUUUUCUCUAGUGUUCCUUACUUCCAUAUCAAUACCUGUUACCAUAGACCUAACAUCAGCUACCAGAUAAAGAAAAUCUGAUGUUUAUGUUAUUUGCAAUGUCUAGUAUCACUAGCCUCUUCAAGAAGUGAUCAAGAAGAAUUUUGUGAGGGUCAGGUAAAAAUCUGGUGUCUCCUAGAGAAGGAGAACCAAUAGCAAGAAGCAAGUAUUAUGCAAUAUAAUUUCCCAAGAGCAAGUUCAGAAAUUGUAGCAACAUAAUAGUUGAUGAAACAUUGUUAAUAGCAACAUCUUCUCCUCUCUGCAAAGGGAAAUUUGAUUUUAGGCUAUCAUGCUACUGGUUUUCGGCAUUGAUAAACCCCUCAGUUUAUUGAAAAUGAACACCAUAAGGUGGCAAUCAGAGGGGAGUUGAUUCAAAGGAAAAACUAGAUAUUGAAUGAUUGUUGAAUGGAAACUGUAUAUGGACCUAAUGCUUGGUUAAUAAAAUAUAUAGAAACGCUAGAAGACAAACAAACAACCAAAAACCAGAGGAGAUCAAAGUAAGUAAAAUCUUGAACCUUCAGACAUUGGGGCAGUAGAUGCUGAAUUUCUUUCUGGGGUGGUCAGAUCAUGCUGUUUGUUAGAGUAAAACUGCUUCUCACUCUUUUCUUCAUUUUCCUCAUCAAUAAUGACAGAUUUUGAGUCUCCCAGAGCUGCAUUUGAGUUUCAGAAAAUUGUCAAAACUAGAAUCUUAUUUAAAUAAUACCUAGUUCUGACUGAUGGAUGAUAAUUCCAUGACCAAAACCUUUGGAGGAAGGAAAAAGGAAAAUGAAGGUUAGUAUAAGCAAUAACUUACGGUCCAAAUAUGUCAGAGCUGCAAUGAAACAGAUAUUGAAGAGCAGAGAAAACCCCAGGAGUGCACCAACAGAAAUCCAAUACCAAUAGCCAUCCACAAACAUGCCUCUUGCCUUGAGAAGAGCUUUUCCAACUGUGGGUUCUGGAAUUCUUGUAUAGAUGUUGGGCUGUGCCAAAAACCGAGUAGUGUAUACAAAGACAGACCAAGUAAUGAAGGCAGAAAUGCCCAAGCUAAAACAAAGUGAGAACAACCAUUCAAAACCUCCUAAGAAACCUUACCGUGCUCCAUCUGUCAUCAAGAAAUUCAUUGAUGACAAGGGCAUUUUGUCCAUACAUCAUUGGAGAAGCAUAAUAUCCCCAUAUCAUCCAUGGUUUAAUAUCAUCUAAGGAAGAAGGAGAAAGAAAUGGUUUAUUACAUUAUCAAUCAUAAAAUACAAUCACAUAAAGAGUGCCCCUCUCCCUUUCCAUUUGAAAUAAGCCAUCAGUGUUACAAAAACGAUCAGCUCACUGCAUAGCAAAAAGACACAAAAUACUGACCUUUCGAUACAACGAAUCCACCCAGAACAGAAACCAAUAGCAAUGUAAAGGUGGCAAGAGUGUUGGCCACAAUCAGUGUUCUUCCAAGUGCUGCAAUGAAGCGGAAAAGAGAUAGGGCCAUCUGAUGCACGACAAAGAAUGCCAGCAAUUGACGGAAAAACCUGAGCAUUAUUCCAAGUCUUGGGUUGUCAUAGUUCCAUUUGUGAAAGCUAAAACACAAGUAAGGAAGAAUGAAGGUCCAUUCACAUACCUACUAGCAGCAGGGGCAUACCCAAUAGUGUAAUACGUGAGAAUGAUCCAUAUCCCUGACUCCAUCAGUGACAAGGGGAUCCUAAGGACCCAAAUUGGUAGUGCAAAAGCCCAUGCCGGGUAAAACAAGAAAUCCCUCUGCUUAAAAAACACUGGGAGCCUGAAAAUAGUCAAUGCAAGUUCUGCCAGUCCGUUAAACAUUACAUUUAUGAGACUAUAAAACAGAGCCCCAUAGAAUUUUACUCCAUCUUGCAGUUGGCCAUGCUUCAUUUCUGUUCUGAAGAACACUGUCAUGGCAAUUACUGACAUGAUUGUAAUCUGGGUUGUCUUGAAUAUGUAUAUAAAAGAGUUGCGCUUCAUUAAUAGCCACUCCCUGGCAAAGCAUGCCUUGAAGAGUUCCCAGUUGGAGAUUCCAUACUUUUCUGUCACCAAUGCUGCAGGAUGGGUUCUGCUCCUAUCGUAAGGGAUUCCAAAGUCGUCUGAAAGCUUCUGGCCAAUGUGGAAAGAGUUGAAAUGUUGCACAAACUCGGGCACCGAGAUAUAUCUGUAAGGUUCAUUCUUUCUGAACCAGUAUUGUUCUUGGUCCUUUCUGGAAGUCACCUCUUGCAAGAAGUCUGCAACUCCUUUUCUUUCCGGGCAUUUGAAGCCUAUGCUUUCAAAGAAUUCAAGGAUGUUUUCACGGGGACCUUGGUACACAAUUUGGCCCUCACAUAGUAAGAUAAUGCCAUCAAAAAGAUCAUAAGUUUCAGGUGCAGGUUGGAGAAGAGAGAUUAUCAUGGUUACUUCCAUGAUAUGAACCAUCUGCCUCAUAAACUUGACAACCUGAAAAGUGGUGGAACUGUCCAGACCAGUUGAUAUUUCAUCCAUGAAAAGAGCCUUUGCUGGUCCA